GUCCACGCCGUAAACGAUGACAACUAGGUGUCGGGGUCUAAGGACGCUCGGUACCGCAGCCAACGCGUUAAGUUGUCCGCCUGGGGAGUACGGCCGCAAGGCUAAAACUCAAAGGAAUUGACGGGGCCCGCACAAGCAGCGGAGCGUGUGGUUUAAUUCGAUGCAACGCGAAGAACCUUACCUAGUCUUGACAUGUAGGUGGUAGGGAGCCGAAAGGUAACCGACCCUCGGGAGCCUGCACAGGUGCUGCAUGGCUGUCGU
rnacentral:rRNA from 1 species